rnacentral:rRNA from 1 species
CCCGCUGAACUUAAGCAUAUCAAUAAGCGCAGGAAAAGAAACCAACAGGGAUUACCUCAGUAACGGCGAGUGAAGCGGUAAUAGCUCAAAUUUGAAAUCUGGCCUCUCGGGGUCCGAGUUGUAAUUUGUAGAGGAUGUUUUGGGUACGGCCCCGGUCUAAAUUUCUUGGAACAGAAUGUCAAAGAGGGUGAGAAUCCCGUCUUGGACCGGCGGUAGAGCCUGUGUAAAACUCCUUCGACGAGUCGAGUUGUUUGGGAAUGCAGCUCAAAAUGGGUGGUAAAUUUCAUCUAGAGCUAAAUAUUAGCCAGAGACCGAUAGCGCACAAGUAGAGUGAUCGAAAGAUGAAAAGCACUUUGAAAAGAGAGUUAAACAGUAUGUGAAAUUGUUGAAAGGGAAGCGCUUGCAACCAGACUUGAGCGCGGCGGUUCCCCCGGUCUUUUGUGCGGUCUACUCCGUCGUGUACAGUCCAACAUCGGUUCUCAGGGUCGGUCAAAGGCCUUGGGAAUGUAUCUACCUACGGGUAGACUUAUAGACCAGGGUGUCAUGCGGCCUCUCGGGACCGAGGAACGCGCUUCGGCUCGGAUGUUGGCGUAAUGGUUGUCAGCGACCCGUCUUGAAACACGG